UCCCCUGUAGCUCAAUCGGCAGAGCAUCUGACUGUUAAUCAGAGGGUUCCUGGUUCGAGUCCAGGCGGGGGAG
rnacentral:tRNA from 1 species